rnacentral:tRNA from 1 species
GGGUGUGGAGCUCAGUGGUAGAGUGUGUGCUUAACAUGCAUGAGGUCCUGGAUUCAAUACCCAGUAUCUUCA